UGGGCUUACUGAUGACUAAAUAUCUGAUGAGGAAAUUCAGCAUUAGUGUGCCAGAUGAUGGUACAUUGGUGUGCACUUUUCUUCUAGUAAGACGUUGCGAUCCAUUAGAAAAGCAAUUUAAAUCUGUAUAUAGGCCCGGAUAGGAGUUUAUACAUUAAGCGAGUAACAUAGCUUUGUUGUUAUGUGAAUGCGUGUAAACUAUCUGGUGUUCUUACAGAUGUCUGAUGGUAUAUUGACGAGUGUCACAUACAAUUCCUUGUGAAUUGACAUUCUUUAUGGAUGUAAUGUGUACAUUAUCAGCAACGUUUUAAAUUUAGGAUACCAUCAGGACCCGUCUUGAAACACGGACCAAGAAGUCUAACUUGUAUGCAAGUCAAUGGGAUUUUUAAAACCUAUAGGCGAAAUGAGAUUAACUUGUUAAUGGGAUUACAAAUGGUGUAUUAAUUAUACUGUUUUUCCAUCCCCGGGUAUCUUAAUGUAAGUACUGUAACUUCGGUUGCGUGUACUACAAAGAUAUACCGUGAGCAUACAAGCUGUGACCCGAAAGAUGGUGAACUAUGCCUGAUCAGGUUGAAGUCAGGGGAAACCCUGAUGGAAGACCGUAGCAAUUCUGACGUGCAAAUCGAUUGUCAGAGUUGGGUAUAGGGGCGAAAGACCAAUCGAACCAUCUAGUACUGUUCCCUUUUCCAAAA
rnacentral:rRNA from 1 species